rnacentral:rRNA from 1 species
AGCAGCCGCGGUAAUUCCAGCUCCAAUAGCGUAUAUUAAAGUUGUUGCAGUUAAAAAGCUCGUAGUUGAAUUUCGGGGUCAGCAGGUCGGUCGUGCCACUGGUAUGUACUGGCUUUGCUGAUUCCUCCCUCUUGACGAACCGUAAUGCCAUUAAUUUGGUGUUGCGGGAAAUCAGGACUGUUACUUUGAAAAAAUUAGAGUGUUUAAAGCAGGCUUACGCUUGAAUACAUUAGCAUGGAAUAAUGAAAUAGGACGUUCGAUCCUAUUUUGUUGGUUUCUAGGAUUGACGUAAUGAUUAAUAGGGAUAGUUGGGGGCAUUAGUAUUCAAUUGUCAGAGGUGAAAUUCUUGGAUUUAUUGAAGACUAACUACUGCGAAAGCAUUUGCCAAGGAUGUUUUCAUUAAUCAAGAACGAAAGUUAGGGGAUCGAAGACGAUCAGAUACCGUCGUAGUCUUAACCAUAAACUAUGCCGACUAGGGAUCGGAUGAUGUUAAUUUUUAAUGACUCAUUCGGCGUCCG